rnacentral:snoRNA from 1 species
AGCCUGAGAAGGACAUUACCAAGAUUGUCAAUGCUCUGCAGACUCUCUAUGAUGUUCUGAUUCGUGACUUCCAGGCU